GCCCACGUAGCUCAGUUGGUAGAGCGCAUCCUUGGUAAGGAUGAGGUCACCGGUUCAAAUCCGGUCGUGGGCU
rnacentral:tRNA from 1 species